rnacentral:lncRNA from 1 species
CAAGGUAUCUCAGAGUGAAGAAGGAUUAAACCCUAGUCACUUCGAAUCUAGUCAGUGCAAUCUGUCCCUGUAUUUUCCUGAAGAUUCUUUGUGGAUAUUUUGAAAAAACUCAAGAACUCCAGGUGGUCUGGCAGUAGGACUGAACAUGAAAGGCUCAUACUAUGAAGCAGCAGCCGCCCUGGACAAGGCUCAGAUAGAGCUACAGUGAGACCCAUUUUCCUGGUGAGGGAGCCCAGAGGAUUUG